AGUACGGGGCGGGGGUCGGCCGAGGGCGCGGGGCCCCGGGGCUCCGGGCUCGCCCCCGCCGCUCGGGGCAGGCGCGCCGAUGGCGUUUCUGAGGUGACGCCGCCCACACCGGGCUUCUCCGGGGGCGGAGGAAACACCUAUGAACCCUCCGGCAGCCUUCCUUGCCGGGCGCCAGGCUAGAAACGAAACUCUCAGCAACACGUUAGUGGAACUUUCUGCCCAGGUAGGACAGCUACAAGCUCGAGAACAAGCUCUUACGACAAUGAUAAAGCUAAAGGACAAAGAUAUUAUUGAGGCAGUUAAUCACAUUGCAGAUUGUUCGGGUAAAUUU
rnacentral:lncRNA from 10 species